rnacentral:rRNA from 1 species
AUUGAACGCUGGCGGAAUGCUUUACACAUGCAAGUCGAACGGCAGCACGGACUUCGGUCUGGUGGCGAGUGGCGAACGGGUGAGUAAUGUAUCGGAACGUGCCCAGUCGUGGGGGAUAACGUAGUGAAAAUUACGCUAAUACCGCAUACGAUCUAUGGAUGAAAGCGGGGGAUCGCAAGACCUCGCACGAUUGGAGUGGCCGAUAUCAGAUUAGGUAUUUGGUGGGGUAAAGGCCCACCAAGCAAACGAUCUGUAGCUGGUCUGAGAGGACGACCAGCCACACUGGAACUGAGACACGGUCCAGACUCCUACGGGAGGCAGUAGUGGGGAAUUUGGACAAUGGGCGAAAGCCUGAUCCAGCCAUUCCGCGUGCAGGAUGAAGGCCCUCGGGUUGUAAACUGCUUUUGUACAGAACGAAAAGGUUUCUACUAAUACUAGGAGCUCAUGACGGUACUGUAAGAAUAAGCACCGGCUAACUACGUGCCAGCCGCCGCGGUAA